UGUAAUACCUGUGCCAAUCAAUCUCGCUCGCCUAGCUAAUUGCCUAUCCUCUCACACUUCUUGGUUCGGACAGCCUCAACGGCGACGAGGACAACAGUAGGAUCUAACAUACGGUUCUUGGUCCACCCUUUUCAUCGUACUGGAUUAGGAAUGCUUGCUUGUACCUGGUGCUGAUGGUUGGGGUUCUGCAGACUUGGCAGAGAUCGUGAAUUUUCUCGGUAUCAUGCAAAGCGAUUCAGUUGAGAGGAAUGCAACUCUUUGUUCUUUGAGGCUUACUUUUCUUUAGUGUUAGAUUUUGUUACAUAUCUGCUGUGUGACGAGAAUUGCAAACUCAGAUUCAGCGGGCGCCAUCUUUUGUGGUGUUGCAUGCCAGAGGCAGGCAGUUGGAGCUUCUCCGUCUAAUUGUUAACUUGGUGGAAGCUAGCUGCUAUACCGACAACCUAGAGUGGAGCCAAAUCAGGAGCUUGGAUGAUGUCAGGUUGAAUCUUGAGGUUCUCAAGUACUUGUGAUGAAUAGUUCAGUGAAAUGUACAAAGGGAUAACCUUGGAUGCAGUACUAGAGCAUAGGCGGGACACUACUGGUCCUUGCCCCCACCUCCCUUCCUAGAGGAAAUUUUACCAAAUAUGCUUAUAUUUCUGCUAAUCGUUCUACUAACCCUCCGGCGUCUCUGAUCACCCUAGCCUUUUUUAUGUCAUACACUCAUUUUGGCCCCUCCUAAUAUCCGCUUCAUGCUCCCCCACAGCUUAGAUUGUGAAGACUUGCUUAGUCCAUCCUUUUGCUUUGCUUACUAAUGAUGCCCCAAGAUGCAAAAUACUAAUUAUUUUGCUUUAUGUGUGUGCUACAUUUUAGAUGCAAUUGCUGAUCAACAUCUUUGGCUUCACGGUUAUUCAUGGAAACUGGAUGUGGCAAUGAAACAAAAGGACUUGCACUGGUUGGGAGGCAUGGAGAGUUCAAGUACUAUCUGGGAUACUACUUACAUUGCUAAUAAGUUAACGUCUGGUCCUAAUACUAGGAUUCCCAGCUAUCUUAGUUUCAAGCCCUGUAUGCUGAUUUGAUUGAAGGUGGAAAUGGGACUCCUUUUGGUGCUUAAGUAAUAACUCAAUGAUAGCGGGAACUGGUUGAAUUAUCAAUAUACAUUUGGGCAUAGAGCAUGAGGAUGUAUGAAACUUCUGAACACUUUCAGGUUGUCGGACAAACUGCAACUAUGAACAGUAUGCCUCAUUUGACUCUUGUGGGGGUAGAGCGAUAAAAUAAACAUGUCAUCACUAGGCGAGUUCAAACACUGGAUGGCAAGGCGAUCAUCUAUUUGAAUACACUUAUUCGUUUCAAGGAGGUAGAAGGCGGUGCAGAAGCUGCAGUUUUGACCCCACUUGUGCUAGCCAAUUUUUUUUCUUUGAGAUUUGUGCCAGCCAAUUUGGGUAUGAGUGAUGCUCACGGAGGCCAUUCUACAUAGCUGAUGGACUGUCAUGUCUAUAUAAUUCUUAUAUAGCUGACAAUUCAAUCAUGAAAUGCUAGGGCUCCAUGGAAGGAAAAGGAAAAUGCGUCUGCAAAAUCAGUAGAUUUUGUGAUGGAAGGAUUGGUAGAUUUGAUAUUAUCUUACAACCUAUAAGAACACCGAAUGUGUGAAACAACAUUCGUUAUUGUCCAGCAACG